rnacentral:rRNA from 1 species
CUUUCCGCAGGCCGCUAACGCGCCCCAAGAGAUCGCGCUCCGGGCAAGGGGGCCCGGUGAACUUUUAACAAAACCCUUUGUUGCGUUAAGUGCUAAGGAUAUUAAAUAAAAAGGAACUUUGCCUCACCCUGUUCUGAUCCGCCGGCCGUCUGAAAAUCUCUUACACAAAGCUAGGUAAUGGGUGUCUUGGCUCUCGAUUGAUGAUCAAAUCUUUGAAUGCGAUACUUGCCCGUGAUUAUUCUAAUCCCGGGAGCUGUUAGUCUAUGAAUUCACCCCUGCCUAAGACCACUCGUGGGAAUACACGCCUGCCUGGCCUCACGCUACUCAUCACCCCCCACCCUCGACAUUCCAAUGUUUGGCCGAUUUUACGGGCUUUGGCCAUGCGUGCUCGAGUCCUUGGCGUGCGAUCGGUUUUUUCUGGGACACCUCGCGGUGCGACACGGCAUGUGGGGAUCGAGAGGCGAUUCAUCACCGAUCGAAUAUUACGCCCAUAUUCCAUCAAGCGUAGUGUCACCAAUGGGACCUGUGGGCACUCGGACCGCGACCCCAGGUCAGGCGUGGCCACCUGCUGAAUUUAAGCAUAUCAAUAAGCGGAGGAA